GGAUUAUAGAGAGCAACCAAGGAAGGACCCAAGAUCUUAUUUGACCAUGUCAAGAGACCAUAGUUGAGAGCAGACGCGAUUACUCCCUGCAUAGAGGAAGCAACAGAGUUACUCAAUUGGAGAAAUUUAAUGGAUCAACAAACAUAUGGUGUGUGAAGAACAUACUGCGUAGACAACUGCAAAGAACUCGGAUCUUGUGAGACUCCAGU